rnacentral:rRNA from 1 species
UGGGGAAUAUUGCACAAUGGGCGCAAGCCUGAUGCAGCCAUGCCGCGUGUAUGAAGAAGGCCUUCGGGUUGUAAAGUACUUUCAGCGAGGAGGAAGGCGUUGUGGUUAAUAACCGCAACGAUUGACGUUACUCGCAGAAGAAGCACCGGCUAACUCCGUGCCAGCAGCCGCGGUAAUACGGAGGGUGCAAGCGUUAAUCGGAAUUACUGGGCGUAAAGCGCACGCAGGCGGUCUGUCAAGUCGGAUGUGAAAUCCCCGGGCUCAACCUGGGAACUGCAUCCGAAGCUGGCAGGCUAGAGUCUUGUAGAGGGGGGUAGAAUUCCAGGUGUAGCGGUGAAAUGCGUAGAGAUCUGGAGGAAUACCGGUGGCGAAGGCGGCCCCCUGGACAAAGACUGACGCUCAGGUGCGAAAGCGUGGGGAGCAAACA